CUAGGCAGGCCUGUAACUCUGUG
rnacentral:piRNA from 1 species